UCAUAUGCUUGUCUCAAAGAUUAAGCCAUGCAUGUCUAAGUGCAAGCCGUCCCGUACGGUGAAACCGCGAAAGGCUCAUUAAAUCAGUUAUGGUUCCUUAGAUCGUACCCACGUUACUUGGAUAACUGUGGUAAUUCUAGAGCUAAUACAUGCCGAUAGAGUUCCGCCCAUCAGUCGAGUUGGUUCGCAAGUCUCUUGCGGCCUCUCGACGUUCGGAAGGAACGCUUUUAUUAGAUCAAAACCGGCCAGACGGCGUAUCGUUCCGACGGUGCGUCGUAAACGGCCCGCGCAAAGACUUGGUGACUCUGAAUAACUUUGAGCUGAUCGCACGGUCCUAGCACCGGCGACGCAUCUUUCAAAUGUCUGCCUUAUCAACUGUCGACGGUAGGUUCGACGCCUACCGUGGUGGUAACGGGUAACGGGGAAUCAGGGUUCGAUUCCGGAGAGGGAGCCUGAGAAACGGCUACCACAUCCAAGGAAGGCAGCAGGCGCGCAAAUUACCCACUCCCGGCACGGGGAGGUAGUGACGAAAAAUAACGAUACGGGACUCAAAUGAGGCCCCGUAAUCGGAAUGAGUACACUGUAAAACAUUGGUCGCACGAGGAUCAAUUGGAGGGCAAG
rnacentral:rRNA from 1 species